rnacentral:rRNA from 1 species
GUGGGGAAUCUUCCGCAAUGGACGAAAGUCUGACGGAGCAACGCCGCGUGAGUGAUGAAGGAUUUCGGUCUGUAAAGCUCUGUUGUUUAUGACGAACGUGCAGUGUGUGAACAAUGCAUUGCAAUGACGGUAGUAAACGAGGAAGCCACGGCUAACUACGUGCCAGCAGCCGCGGUAAUACGUAGGUGGCGAGCGUUGUCCGGAAUUAUUGGGCGUAAAGAGCAUGUAGGCGGCUUAAUAAGUCGAGCGUGAAAAUGCGGGGCUCAACCCCGUAUGGCGCUGGAAACUGUUAGGCUUGAGUGCAGGAGAGGAAAGGGGAAUUCCCAGUGUAGCGGUGAAAUGCGUAGAUAUUGGGAGGAACACCAGUGGCGAAGGCGCCUUUCUGGACUGUGUCUGACGCUGAGAUGCGAAAGCCAGGGUAGCGAACGGGAUUAGAAACCCUGGUAGUCC